UGUUUUACAAAAACAUGUCUUUUUGAGUUUUAUUUAAAGUCGGGCCUGCUCUAUGAAUUAAUUUAAUUUAAAUGGCUGCGGUAUUUUGACCGUACAAAGGUAGCAUAAUCAUUAGUUUCUUAAUUAGAAGCUGGAAUGAAAGGUUUGAUGAAAAAAUUUCUGUCUCAAUUUCAAUAGAUUUGAAUUUUAUUUUUAAGUAAAAAAGCUUAAAUUUUUAUAAAAGACGAGAAGACCCUGUAGAGUUUUAUAUUUUUAAUUAUAGUUAUUUUUAGAAUUUUAUUUUUCUAUAAGAAAAAGUAUUUUGUUGGGGUGACAAAAAAAUUUAUUAAACUUUUUUUUAUACUUUAACACUUAUUUGUGAUUUUUUGAUCCUUAUUAUUAAGAUUAAAAGAAAAAUUACCUUAGGGAUAACAGCGUAAUUUUUUUUUAGAGUUCAAAUCGAAGAAAGAGUUUGCGACCUCGAG
rnacentral:rRNA from 1 species